CACACCGCCCGUCACACCAUGGGAGUUGAUUGCACCAGAAGUAGGUCGCCUAACCGCAAGGAGGGUGCUUACCACGGUGUGGUCAAUGACUGGGGUG
rnacentral:rRNA from 1 species